CGUGAGCAACCUGCCCUGGACUCUGGGAUAAGCGCUGGAAACGGCGUCUAAUACUGGAUAUGAGACGUGAUCGCAUGGUCGUGUUUGGAAAGAUUUUUCGGUCUGGGAUGGGCUCGCGGCCUAUCAGCUUGUUGGUGAGGUAAUGGCUCACCAAGGCGUCGACGGGUAGCCGGCCUGAGAGGGUGACCGGCCACACUGGGACUGAGACACGGCCCAGACUCCUACGGGAGGCAGCAGUGGGGAAUAUUGCACAAUGGGCGGAAGCCUGAUGCAGCAACGCCGCGUGAGGGAUGACGGCCUUCGGGUUGUAAACCUCUUUUAGCAGGGAAGAAGCGAAAGUGACGGUACCUGCAGAAAAAGCGCCGGCUAACUACGUGCCAGCAGCCGCGGUAAUACGUAGGGCGCAAGCGUUAUCCGGAAUUAUUGGGCGUAAAGAGCUCGUAGGCGGUUUGUCGCGUCUGCUGUGAAAUCCCGAGGCUCAACCUCGGGCCUGCAGUGGGUACGGGCAGACUAGAGUGCGGUAGGGGAGAUUGGAAUUCCUGGUGUAGCGGUGGAAUGCGCAGAUAUCAGGAGGAACACCGAUGGCGAAGGCAGAUCUCUGGGCCGUAACUGACGCUGAGGAGCGAAAGGGUGGGGAGCAAACAGGCU
rnacentral:rRNA from 1 species